UACGAAGGGGGCUAGCGUUGCUCGGAAUCACUGGGCGUAAAGCGUCAUACGGUAGGCGGAUUGCUAAGUCAGGGGUGAAAUCCAUGGGAGCUCAACCUCCAGAACUGCCUUUGGAUACUGGGCGACCUUGAGUCCGGGAGAGGUGAGGUGGAACUGCGAAGUGUAGAGGUGAAAUUCGUAGAUACUUGCAAGAACACCAGUGGCGAAGGCGGCUCACUGGCCCGGUACUGACGCUGAGGGUGCGAAAGCGUGGGGAGCAAACACGG
rnacentral:rRNA from 1 species